rnacentral:rRNA from 1 species
UGGGGAAUAUUGGACAAUGGAGGAAACUCUGAUCCAGCAAUUCUGUGUGUGUGAAGAAGGUUUUAGGACUGUAAAACACUUUUAGUAGGGAAGAAAAAAAUGACGGUACCUACAGAAGAAGCAACGGCUAAAUACGUGCCAGCAGCCGCGGUAAUACGUAUGUUGCGAGCGUUAUCCGGAAUUAUUGGGCUUAAAGGGCAUCUAGGCGGUAAGACAAGUUGAAGGUGAAAACCUGUGGCUCAACCAUAGGCUUGCCUACAAAACUGUUGAACUAGAGUACUGGAAAGGUGGGUGGAACUACACGAGGAGAGGUGAAAUUCGUAGAUAUGUGUAGGAAUGCCGAUGAUGAAGAUAACUCACUGGACAGAAACUGACGCUGAAGUGCGAAAGCUAGGGGAGCAAACAGG